GAGCUUUUAGGCAACUUAAUUUCGACUUAAGUCACGGAUUUAAUAGUGAAGUUCA
rnacentral:tRNA from 1 species